rnacentral:rRNA from 1 species
GGUACCUCCGGGCCAGCAGGCGCGGAAAGACGGAGGGUGCAAACGUUGCUCGGAAGCAGUGGGCGUAAAGCGCACGUAGUCUGCCUGAUAAGUCGGGUGGGAAAGCCCUGGGCUCAACCCAGGAAGUGCACUCGAAACUGUCGGGCUUGAAUAUGGAAGAGGGUCGCGGAAUUCCCGGUGUAGAGGUGAAAUUCGUAGAUAUCGGGAGGAACACCAGUGGCGAAGGCGGCGACCUGGGCCAAUAUUGACGCUGAGGUGCGAAAGCGUGGGGAGCAAACAGGAUUAGAUACCCGGGUAGUC